rnacentral:rRNA from 1 species
ACGGGAGGCAGCAGUGGGGAAUAUUGCACAAUGGGGGAAACCCUGAUGCAGCGACGCCGCGUGAGUGAAGAAGUAUUUCGGUAUGUAAAGCUCUAUCAGCAAGGAAGAAAAUGACGGUACUUGACUAAGAAGCCCCGGCUAACUACGUGCCAGCAGCCGCGGUAAUACGUAGGGGGCAAGCGUUAUCCGGAUUUACUGGGUGUAAAGGGAGCGUAGACGGCGAUGCAAGUCUGAUGUGAAAGCCCGGGGCUCAACCCCGGGACUGCAUUGGAAACUGUAUAGCUGGAGUGCAGGAGAGGUAAGCGGAAUUCCUAGUGUAGCGGUGAAAUGCGUAGAUAUUAGGAGGAACACCGGCGGCGAAGGCGGCUUACUGGACUGUAACUGACGUUGAGGCUCGAAAGCGUGGGGAGCAAACAGGAUUAGAUACCCUGGUA